rnacentral:rRNA from 1 species
CGAAGACGGCCUUCUGGGACGCCGAGCGAUAACAGUUCCUUAACGACCGAAAUUGCGCGUGCGGCGGAGAGCUCCCAGUUGGACGCAAAACGUUCAUUUUGGAUUGGCACGUUGUCGGUGUGCCCUUCAACCGUGAUACGCCCUUUCAGGCCAUGGAGUGGCUCGGCCAGGCUAUGAAGAACAUCGAUGNNGCGUUNNNNNNNNGCNGNCUCCCCUGAGGGGAACAGGAGUGUCUCNCCAAUGACGAGCGNUACUUGAUUUUUGGUGAUCGAGACAUCAANNAAUUGAUCAAGNNNNNUCUGUUUCAAGGUACGAAGCAAACUAUCAGUAUCGUNUGAAUCCGCGGNAACAUCAUUGUCGAUAUGGGCUUCCGGUAUGUUGACGAUUUCCGGGUACUGCAUCGAGGAAUGAAUAGCCUUCGUAAUUUGCUCACGCUGUGGCUCCGGCAUCUGCAUAAGGCCCACCAUGAAGGCGAACAAGGCAAGNNNUACCGUNNNGGUGUCAAGAUAGGGUAGCAACCAGGCGUCCAUAUCGGCGGACUCGACCCCGCUCACUCCGGCGUCACUCCUAUCACUCAAAUGAUGGAUGGCGUUCGUAAGUCGCUCCAGUUCCUCUACCGCGGUAGAGGCCUCACUGUUCGAUCNNNAUGCAUGAUUGCCAGUCAUGUUGNNNCCGCAUUAUUUCGUAAGGCGCCAAGUUCGUCGCGGAACUCCUUGUUCACGGACCUGCUGAACUC